rnacentral:ncRNA from 2 species
AUCGAAUCAGGAAGCAAUGAUGAAAUGUUUUUAAUUGGGCACUUUGACAUUUCGGAGCGAGUAGUGCAACCGGCCAAAUGAGAG